rnacentral:misc_RNA from 1 species
GGAACAACAGCUUUUGACGAUCUAUGUCUAGAAACCAUAUGGACAGUUGUAACAAAAUUAGCAUAUAUUAUGUAAAAAAUGUGCAAAGUUAUAAAGGUACCAUGACCUUUUCUAAAGAAGGUCAUCAGCAUAAAUCAUUUAUUAUAUAAGGGAUAACAAAAAUACUCAAUACACGAAGUGAACUCAUAGAUAACUAUAUCAACAGAUUAAAGGUCAUAAGCAAACUGUCAGUCUUCAUUCCCAAAAUGGUUGUCCAAUUAUUGUUCCUCUUUUUAUUAGGAAAUUCUUUAAGUUAACCCCACACCACUUC